rnacentral:rRNA from 1 species
CGGACGGGUGAGUAACGCGUGAGAAUCUACCUGAAGGAUGGGGAUAACUGUUGGAAACGACAGCUAAUACCCAAUAAGCCGAGAGGUAAAAAGGAAACCGCCUACAGAAGAGCUCGCGUCCGAUUAGCUAGUUGGGAGGGUAAAAGCCUACCAAGGCAACGAUCGGUAGCUGGUCUGAGAGGACGAGCAGCCACACUGGGACUGAGACACGGCCCAGACUCCUACGGGAGGCCAGCCAGUGGGGAAUUUUCCGCAAUGGGCGAAAGCCUGACGGAGCAAGACCGCGUGGGGGAGGAAGGCCCUUGGGUUGUAAACUCCUUUUCUCGGGGAAGAAAGAACUGACGGUAACCCGAGGAAAAAGCCUUCGGCUAACUCCGUUGCCAGCAGCCGCCGGUUAAGACGGAGGAGGGCAAGCGUUAUCCGGAAUUAUUGGGCGUAAAAGGGUCCGCAGGUGGCCGGUUCAAGUCUGCAAGUCAAAGGUCGGGGCUCCAACCCCGAAAAGGCUGUGGAAACUGAACAGCUAGAGUACGGUAGGGGCAGAGGGAAUUCCCAGUGUAGCGGUGAAAUGCGUAGAGAUUGGGAAGAACACCGGUGGCGAAAGCGCUCUGCUAGGCCGAAACUGACACUGAGGGACGAAAGCUAGGGGAGCGAAAGGGAUUAGAUACCCCUGUAGUCCUAGCUGUAAACGAUGGAGACUAGGUGUGGCCUGUAUCGACCCGGGCCGUGCCGGAGCUAACGCGUUAAGUCUCCCGCCUGGGGAGUACGCACGCAAGUGUGAAACUCAAAGGAAUUGACGGGGGCCCGCACAAGCGGUGGAGUAUGUGGGUUUAAUUCGAUGCAACGCGAAGGAACCUUACCAGGGCUUGACAUGUCGCGAACCCCGGGGGAAACCUGGGGGGUGCUUUAGGGAGCGGCGAACAACAGGUGGGUGCAUGGGCUGUCGUCAGCUCGUGUCGUGGAGAUGUUUGGGUUAAGUCCCCGCCACGAGCGCAACCCUUCGUCCCUUUAGUUGUCCAGCCAGUAAGAAUGGGAACCUCCUAGGGAGAACUUGCCGGGUGACACAACCCGGAGGAAGGUGGGGAUGACGUUCAAAGUCCAGCAUGCCCCCUUAACGUACCUUGGGCUAACCACCACGUACUACAAUGUGUAAAGUACUUAGAAUAGCAGCCAAGUAUCGCGAGGUUGCCAAGAGCGAAAUUCUUCGGAAACACCUGUUGCCCAGUUCGGAUUGCAGGCUGCAACUCGCCUGCAUGAAGGAGGAAUCGCUAGUAAUCGCCGGUCAGCAUACGGCGGUGAAUACGUUCCCGGGCCUUGUACACACCGCCCGUCACACCAUGGAAGUUGGCCAGGCCCGAAGUCAUUACCCUAACCUUACGAGGAGGGGGAUGCCGAAGGCCGGGCUGAUGACUGGGGUGAAGUCGUAACAAGGUAACC